rnacentral:rRNA from 1 species
AUUGAACGCUGGCGGCAGGCCUAACACAUGCAAGUCGAACGAGUGGCGGACGGGUGAGUAAUGUCUGGGAAACUGCCCGAUGGAGGGGGAUAACUACUGGAAACGGUAGCUAAUACCGCAUACCAUCGGAUGUGCCCAGAUGGGAUUAGCUUGUAGGUGAGGUAACGGCUCACCUAGGCGACGAUCCCUCGCUGGUCUGAGAGGAUGACCAGCCAGCCUGGAACGGGGAAACGGUCCAGACUCCUACGUGGGGCAGCAUUGGGGAGUAUUGAACAAUGGGCGCAAGCCUGCGACAGCCAUGGCGCGUGUAUGAAGAAGGCCUUCGGGUUGUAAAGUACUUUCAGCGGGGAGGCGUUACCCGCAGAAGAAGCACCGGCUAACUCCGUGCCAGCAGCCGCGGUAAUAC